rnacentral:rRNA from 1 species
AUUGAACGCUGGCGGCAUGCUUUACACAUGCAAGUCGAACGGCAGCGGGGUAGUGCUUGCACUACUGCCGGCGAGUGGCGAACGGGUGAGUAAUAUAUCGGAACAUACCGAGUAAUGGGGGAUAACCAAUCGAAAGAUUGGCUAAUACCGCAUACGUCCUGAGGGAGAAAGCGGGGGAUCGCAAGACCUCGCGUUAUUCGAGCGGCCGAUAACUGAUUAGCUAGUUGGUGGGGUAAAGGCCUACCAAGGCGACGAUCAGUAGCGGGUCUGAGAGGACGAUCCGCCACACUGGGACUGAGACACGGCCCAGACUCCUACGGGAGGCAGCAGUGGGGAAUUUUGGACAAUGGGGGCAACCCUGAUCCAGCCAUGCCGCGUGUAUGAAGAAGGCCUUCGGGUUGUAAAGUACUUUUGUUAGGGAAGAAAAGGGAAGUGCUAAUACCACUUUUUGCUGACGGUACCUAAAGAAUAAGCACCGGCUAACUACGUG